rnacentral:lncRNA from 1 species
AUGCUGUGGGAAGCAUUGGAGUCAGUAUGGACCAGCAUCCCUGUGGGAAGCAUUGGAGUCAGUAUGGACCAGCAUCCCUGUGGGAAGCAUUGGAGUCAGUAUGGACCAGCAUCCCUGUGGGAAGCAUUGGAGUCAGUAUGGACCAGCAUCCCUGUGGGAAGCAUUGGAGUCAGUAUGGACCAGCAUCCCUGUGGGAAGCAUUGGAGUCAGUAUGGACCAGCAUCCCUGUGGGAAGCAUUGGAGUCAGUAUGGACCAGCAUCCCUGUGGGAAGCAUUGGAGUCAGUAUGGACCAGCAUCCCUGUGGGAAGCAUUGGAGUCAGUAUGGGCCAGCAUCCCUGUGGGAAGCAUUGGAGUCAGUAUGGGCCAGCAUCCCUGUGGGAAGCAUUGGAGUCAGUAUGGGCCAGCAUCCCUGUGGGAAGCAUUGGAGUCAGUAUGGGCCAGCAUCCCUGUGGGAAGCAUUGGAGUCAGUAUGGGCCAGCAUCCCUGUGGGAAGCAUUGGAGUCAGUAUGGACCAGCAUCCCUGUGGGACGCAUUGGAGUCAGUAUGGGCCAGCAUCCCUGUGGGAAGCAUUGGAGUCAGUAUGGACCAGCAUCCCUGUGGGAAGCAUUGGAGUCAGUAUGGGCCAGCAUCCCUGUGGGAAGCAUUGGAGUCAGUAUGGACCAGCAUCCCUGUGGGAAGCAUUGGAGUCAGUAUGGGCCAGCAUCCCUGUGGGAAGCAUUGGAGUCAGUAUGGACCAGCAUCCCUGUGGGAAGCAUUGGAGUCAGUAUGGGCCAGCAUCCCUGUGGGAAGCAUUGGAGUCAGUAUGGACCAGCAUCCCUGUGGGAAGCAUUGGAGUCAGUAUGGACCAGCAUCCCUGUGGGAAGCAUUGGAGUCAGUAUGGGCCAGCAUCCCUGUGGGAAGCAUUGGAGUCAGUAUGGACCAGCAUCCCUGUGGGAAGCAUUGGAGUCAGUAUGGACCAGCAUCCCUGUGGGAAGCAUUGGAGUCAGUAUGGACCAGCAUCCCUGUGGGAAGCAUUGGAGUCAGUAUGGACCAGCAUCCCUGUGGAACGCUUUCCACACCUUGUAGAGUCCAUGCACUGA